rnacentral:rRNA from 1 species
GGAUUAAGAGCUUGUCUCUUAUGAAGUUAGCGGCGGACGGGUGAGUAACACGUGGGUAACCUGCCCAUAAGACUGGGAUAACUCCGGGAAACCGGGGCUAAUACCGGAUAACAUUUUGAACCGCAUGGUUCGAAAUUGAAAGGCGGCUUCGGCUGUCACUUAUGGAUGGACCCGCGUCGCAUUAGCUAGUUGGUGAGGUAACGGCUCACCAAGGCAACGAUGCGUAGCCGACCUGAGAGGGUGAUCGGCCACACUGGGACUGAGACACGGCCCAGACUCCUACGGGAGGCAGCAGUAGGGAAUCUUCCGCAAUGGACGAAAGUCUGACGGAGCAACGCCGCGUGAGUGAUGAAGGCUUUCGGGUCGUAAAACUCUGUUGUUAGGGAAGAACAAGUGCUAGUUGAAUAAGCUGGCACCUUGACGGUACCUAACCAGAAAGCCACGGCUAACUACGUGCCAGCAGCCGCGGUAAUACGUAGGUGGCAAGCGUUAUCCGGAAUUAUUGGGCGUAAAGCGCGCGCAGGUGGUUUCUUAAGUCUGAUGUGAAAGCCCACGGCUCAACCGUGGAGGGUCAUUGGAAACUGGGAGACUUGAGUGCAGAAGAGGAAAGUGGAAUUCCAUGUGUAGCGGUGAAAUGCGUAGAGAUAUGGAGGAACACCAGUGGCGAAGGCGACUUUCUGGUCUGUAACUGACACUGAGGCGCGAAAGCGUGGGGAGCAAACAGGAUUAGAUACCCUGAUAGUCCACGCCGUAAACGAUGAGUGCUAAGUGUUAGAGGGUUUCCCGCCCCUUUUAGUGCUGAAGUU